rnacentral:rRNA from 1 species
GACGAACGCUGGCGGCGUGCUUAACACAUGCAAGUCGAACGAAGUGGCGAACGGGUGAGUAAUACGUGGGUAAACUGCCCUCCUUUAGGGGAUAAGCCUUGGAAACGGGGGAUAAUACCGAAAUAAGGGGGAUGGGCAUGGGGCUUAUCAGCUUGGUGGUGGGGUGGCGGCCCACCAAGGCGGUGACGGGUGGCCGGCCGGAGAGGGUGACCGGGAACUUUGAGACUGGGAUACGGCCCAGACUCGUACGCGAGGCGGCAGUGGGGGAUAUUGCACAAUGGGCGAAGGCCUAAUGCCGCGACGCCGCGUGGGGGAUGAAGGCUUUCGGGUUGUAAACCUCUUUCGCUAUCGAACGUGUAGUUGGAGAAGAAGCGCCGGCUAACUACGUGCCAGCAGCCGCGGUAAUUC